rnacentral:rRNA from 1 species
UGUUGCAGUUAAAAAGCUCGUAGUUGGAUUUCGGAGUGGGCCAGUUGGUCCGCCGCAAGGUGUGUUACUGACUGGUUUGCUCUUCUUCGCAAAGACUGCGUGUGCUCUUUGUUGAGUGUGCGUAGGAUUUACGACGUUUACUUUGAAAAAAUUAGAGUGUUCAAAGCAGGCUAUUGCUUGAAUACAUGAGCAUGGAAUAAUGGAAUAGGACUUUGGUCCCAUUUUGUUGGUUUCUAGGACCGAAGUAAUGAUUAAGAGGGACAAUUGGGGGCAUCCGUAUUUCGCUGUCAGAGGUGAAAUUCUUGGAUUUACGAAAGACGAACAACUGCGAAAGCACUUGCCAAGAGUGUUUUCAUUAAUCAAGAACGAAAGUUAGAGGAUCGAAGACGAUCAGAUACCGUCCUAGUUCUAACCAUAAACGAUGUCGACUAGGGAUCAGUGGGCGUUAUCGUACGACCCCAUUGGCACCUUACGGGAAACCAAAGUUUCUGGAUUCCGGGGGAAGUAUAGUCGCAAGGCCGAAACUUAAAGGAAUUGACGGAAGGGCACCACCAGGAGUGGAGCCUGUGGCUCAAUUUGACUCAACACGGGAAAACUUACCAGGUCCAGACAUAGUAAGGAUUGACAGGUUGAGAGCCCUUUCUUGAUUCUAUGGGUGGUGGUGCAUGGCCGCUCUUAGUUGGUGGAGUGAUUUGUCUGGUUAAUUUCGUUAACGAACGAGACCUUAACCGGCUAAAUAGUCAUGCGAUUCUCGAAUCGUAACUGACUUCUUAGAGGGACUGUUGGUGUUUAACCAAAGUCAGGAAGGCAAUAACAGGUCUGUGAUGCCCUUAGAUGUUCUGGGCCGCCGCGCGCUACACUGUCGGAUUCAGCGAGUCUUAACCUUAACCGAAAGGUUUGGGUAAUCUUUUGAAAGUCCGACGUGAUGGGGAUUGAUCAUUGCAUUAUUGAUCAUG